AAUCCACAAGUGCUGAGUGGGCAUUAGAGCCUUCAUGUGACCUAUGGCCUGCCUCUGCGCCUAAAACCCAAAUCCUGCUCACAAUAGCUUCCUGUUCCACUUGGAUCACCCUUGUUUUCAAAUAUCAGCAACUGUUCCAACUAGCGACUGGGAACACCGUUGGUAAAGGAAAAAACUGCAAAGAGGGGUACGUUUUGGUAGAAGUGAGGAGUGGCAAAGUGGGGGUGAAAUAAGAGACGAAGGGGAGACAGUCAGAGAGAGAAGUGGGAGGAGAGAAGGGAAAUGUUUAGUAUGUCAGCAGGUCCAUUCAGCUUAUAGGUGCACCCCUACUCCCAGGACACAACAAACGAUCGUCAUACAAGACACGGUGCUGUCUGAGAGCUCUUCACACCACGGACUCUUUAGCAAGAAGAAAGCACUUCUCCUCGGCGCUGCUUUUUUCCCUAACCCUAAUCUACAUUCUCAACAUUUUCUCUGGAAAAAGAACAAGACUACCUUCUUCUUAUGACAGCAAAAAAGAAGCUCCAUUCCUUCCCCCUGAUCCUCCUGGUUUCUCCCACUUGUCUAGAGGACAGCAGGGGUCACUGGGACAGUCAACUAUGGCAGCAUCGCCUCGGCCCACUCUCCGUGGCCUCUCUGCAGCAGCUUGAUGCGGUCGAUGUCGUAACAAAUCUGGACCAGGUCUCCCACCAGGAACUGAGAGCUGCCUCCUUCUGCCCCUGCUGCAACUUCCCCACUGCGCACGACGUUGGCCUUUGUCAGCACAGCUGGGUUAAACGUCCAUCUGGGAAUCCAGAAGAUAAAGAACUAUGUAAGGGUUUGCAAGCUAUGGAUACAGUUGCUAUGUGAAAAAAUUAAACAAAUGAAAAACAA